rnacentral:lncRNA from 1 species
CGGGCUGCGCGCGGUGGGGGGGGGGGGGGGGGGGGGGGACGCGAUGAGCGGCCUCGUCGCCAGGUCCCGGACAGAACGCGCUCCGCCCCCACGAGGCCCGGGCCAGGGUUUGUUUGACCCCAGCCUGAAGUUUCUGCUCGGGCCUGGGGGCUGCGGGGCGGAACUGCGUUCCUGGGAGCCGCGAGCCAGCAGCCGGCCGGCUCUUUGUGCCCGCUCGAGGCCGCCUGGGUGAGGUUGGCCGCCCCCAUGAAUCCCCAGCCACAGUGCCCAGCCUGGCCCAUCCCGUACGGUGUGGGUGUGCUCCCGCCUGCCCUUUCAAAAAUCAGAAUUUAUAGUUGGUUAGACUGGCUAAUAACACAAGUCACAGUUCCCCAAGGUGAGUUGGCUCUUUACAGCCAGCAAGAGUGGAUGCAGCUCUGCUGACUUUUGAGCCUGGCAGAAGAUUCUAGAAUACCCGUGACUGCAGCUCACCUCUCUAUGACCCUGACAGUGGAGACAGGGGUUCAUCACCCUCCGUCUUCUCACCUGGUGAGACAACUCCCAGGCCUUUCGUUCCCUUGGGAGAAAACCUCACGUGGAAAGCACUUCUCUGAGUGGCGGAUGACACCUACGCCAGCCUCUGCCUGUGCUGCUUCUGGUUCUGCAGAGUUUGAGAGGCGAAAACCACAGUUGCCUGGGUACCUGGAAGCCAGUGUUUUGGAUACGAUUUUAAGUCUGUUAGAUGUACUUGCAUGAGAUGUGGAAAAUGGAAAUAAAAUGAACCGAGGCGAGACUGACA